AUGCCUUGCCAAACUCGUAUCAUUUUCACAAGCCCCAGAGAGACCCCACAAGUCAAGUCUUGGGAGGUCAAGAUGAACUGCUGAUGAAGAUAAAAAUCACUCCCAGGAGAAAGAAAUAUCAGAACGAGAGGGUAUUCCACUAGUUGGCCACCUCCUCCUGUGACUCAUUUGUCUACUAACAGGCUCUUUUUCCUCUCCAGAACUCCAGUGAAGACGGUCCACCUGGUGUGGGAUCUGACCACAGCUUCCAAAGACAACACACUCACUCUGAGAGCCUGAGACGGUGAUAAACACAUCCACUUCUGCUUUCUUGCUACUUGGAACUACAGCCCGGGAACAGCUCACAGGGAGACAACCUGACCCCACUCACCUGUGGAAGGCUGAAAGAAAGAAGAAAUUAAUACAUCCCCUACCCGAAGCUGGCCAUUCUAGGGGAUAUUUGCAAAACUUAUGGCCUUUUUACUUUUUACUUCCUCAUCUCCUCCCCCCUCUGUGCUGUAAAAGAAACUGGCAUCCAAACGCUGAUAAGAUGGUUUAUCGGAGAUAACUAGUCUGCCAUCCUCUCUGUCUGCUGGCUUUCUGAAUAAAGUCAUAUUCCUUUUGCCUCAACACCUUGUCUCCAAUUCAUUGGCCUGUCCUGUGGCGAGCAGUGAGCCUGGACUUGGUAACACAACUACCAUCAACAGAAAGCAGUAAACACUCAACAGCCCUAAGCCAAUCAAGAGCCAAGAGCAAAUAAAGAACCUUCUUAGAAAACUGGUCUUGGGGAGAAGGCAAAUGAACUCAGUAAAGAGGACCAGGAUCUAGUCAGGUUCCAGGAAACCCAGC